rnacentral:misc_RNA from 1 species
AAAUUCUCAAAGUUACAGUCUUGUUCCUACAAGGCUGCAUCUUUUGGAUGUGAGCCCUUUUGUCGUAUGGCAAUGGCUUGAAAAUGAUUGUGUUUGCACCAGCUCUAUGGCUCGGUUCUUAACAAGUGCAACAGAUGUUAACUCUUUCGUUAAUCUCUUGAAGAGGAUCGUUUUCAGGUACUGGUUGAUACACUCAAAACCAAAAACUUUCGCUGAUCCUUGGAUCUUCGACUGAUA